UACGUAGGGAGCAAGCGUUGUCCGGAAUCAUUGGGCGUAAAGCGCGCGUAGGUGGCCCCAUAAGUCCGCUGUGAAAGUCAAAGGCUCAACCUUUGAAAGCCGGUGGAUACUGUGGGACUAGAGUACGGAAGAGGCGAGUGGAAUUCCUGGUGUAGCGGUGGAAUGCGCGGAUAUCAGGAGGAACACCAAUAGCGAAGGCAGCUCGCUGGGACGUUACUGACACUGAGGCGCGAAAGCGUGGGGAGCGAACAGG
rnacentral:rRNA from 1 species